UUGGACCUCGAGCCAGUGUAGCUGCGGCGGGCCCCUUGCGAAGAUGAAUAGUUCUCCGUUUGGCUUGCCGGCAAGCCUCCAAGCCACUCCCUUUCGUGGGUUUAUAGUCACUACUUGAUAAAUAUCACUCCUCCACAUGAGAGAAAAAUAAUGGCUUACGACUUCAACUUCGCCCCAUUCAGCCAUAUUAAGGAACCUUCGCUCCUCUUUGACAUUGAGGAUAUUUAUAACAUGCUUCUCUGCCCGUAAAAUGCGUCUACCACCGCUCAUCAGCGAAGGACGGCAAUCAUGGCUGUCACCCUGCUGACAACUGGAUACCUGCAGAAAGGACUCUCUGUACCAGUGGACAAAAGCCAGGCAAAUGGUGUGGGCACCUUCCCUUUAGCUACGAAAGCAGAUGCAAUGGAGUGGCUGUAAAGUUUAGUCUGCGAUGAAGGAAACCCUAUUCAUCUCAAGGAUUUGGAGAAAUUAUUCGAGUCUUCGCCCCUCCUAACUUAUUCUGACUCUGGUUGGGUCAUGUUUCAGUCUUCAGUUCUGCGCCAUUCCGUCACAGCUGUGGUUUAUCAAGCCGCUGACUUGUAGGCCUCCUACAAAUGGUCUCCAGUGCAGAUGAGAAGCGAGCGGGGUGUUCAAGAAGAAAGGAACACGUUAAUAAGGCUUUAGGAGGAGCUCAAGUUGUUGACAGUUUAUUUUUUGGAGAAGAAAGUAGUUAUGAAAUUUUAGAGGGAAGAGAGACGAUUCUGUACGUAAGAAUGGUGCUGACAACUUAUCCGUAAAAAAUGUGACGACGUUUUCAGCGGCAAAGGUGCAUAGAGUAAUACUGGCCUUCUUAAGAGAGAUGAUCCAAACCGCGAUAUGUGCCUUGGGGGUCAUGAGAUGCGCGUGCUUAUUCUCAGCAGAUUGAAUGAUUUUGUAUAUUAAAACUUCAGAAAUAAAUUUUCUUUUCCCUAAUA